CAAACACAGCGGUCGCCAUUUUCCCCUGAGCGGAAGGAGGAAGCGCAGAGGGAAAACAUUAAAACUCUUCAAGUGAAAAUCCUCCUGAAAAACAUAAUUUCUGUUAUGGAAGUCCCCGGACCGGACAGCGACUGGAGGAGCCCUCAGUUCCGACAGAAAGUCGUCGCUCAGAUUGAAGAGGCGAUGAGAAAGGCAGGAACUGCACACUCCAAGUCGAGCAAUGACAUGGAGAACCACGUCUACGUCAAAGCCAAGUCCAGAGAGGAGUAUUUAUCUCUGGUGGCGAGGCUGAUCAUACACUUCAGAGACAUCCACAAGAAGGCACUUGGAGAUCCCAUGAAUGCCCUGACUAACCUGACAGGGGUUGGAGGGGGCCCCGGCGGCAUUGGCAUGGGGCCCCGCCCCACCGGUGCUCCAGUGGGUGGCAUGGGGGCCAUGGGGCAGAUGCAGAUAGGCCAGCAUGCCAUGGCGGGGGUGGCUGGAAACCCACAAGCCAUAGGGGGUCCAGGCCAGAUGCCGAUGCAGCAGAUGGUGCAGGCGCAGCAGCAGCAGCAGUCCAUCCAGUUCCAGCAGUUCCAGCAGGCCCAGCAGCAGCAGCAGCAGCAACAGCAGCAGAAUGCCAUGCAGCAGCAGCAGCAGCAGCAGCAGUUCCAAGUGCAGCAGCAACUGAGGGUGCAGCAGCUGCAGGCGCAGCAGCAGCAGCUGCAGCAGCAGCAGCAGCACCACCAGAACCAGCAGCUUCAGCAGCAGCACCAAAACCAGCAGCAGCAGCAGCAGCAGGCCCAGAACCAGCAGCAGCAGAACCAGAUGCACCAGACAAGGAUUCAGCAGCAGCAGCAGCAGAUGCUGCAACUCCAGCAUGCCCAGGCUCAGGCUCAGGCUCAGGCCCAGGCCCAGGCGCAGGCCCAAGCUCAGGCUCAAGCUCAGGCCCAAGCUCAGGCUCAAGCUCAGGCCCAGGCCCAGGCUCAGGCCCAGGCUCAGUCCAUCCAGCACAUGGUUCAGCAGCAGCAGCAGCAGCAGCAGGUUCAGGGCCAAUCUCAGCCUCAGCCGGGGCAGAUGCCUCCACACUCUCAGCAGCAGCCGUCCGGCAUGGUGCCUCAGUCCCUGGCCGGGCAGAUGGCGUCGGCUCAGCACGUUUCCAUCAACUCGCUCAGUCAGCAGCAGCAGCAGCAGCAGCACCAGCUCAAGAUACAGGCCUUCCAGCAGGCCCGUGCAGCCUUGCAGCAGCAGCAGCAACAGCAGCAGGCGCAGCAGGCAGCGCAGCAAGCCGCAGCACAGGCGCAGCUCAACGCAGCUGCUGCAGCCGCCGGCGCUGUUCCCGGACAGUUGGUUCGUCCUGGGAUGCAGCUUCCACCCCGGCUGCCUCGAGCCCCCAUGAACCCCUCCAUCCCUCCUCCAAACGCUGCCGCUGCGGCCGCCGCCGCCGCAGCCGCCGCCGCCGCCGCUGCGGUGGGAGGACAGACGAUGACACAGCAGCAGGUGCCGCAGCAUUCGAUGAUGUCAUCGCCGUCCCCGGGGCAGGUGCAGACGCCGCAGCCGAUGCCCCCCCCUCCCCAGCCGUCACCCCAGCCCCCCAACUCGGCCAGCUCCGGCCCCACUCCGUCUCCGGGGGGUUUCCAGCCCAGCCCGUCCCCGCAGCCCUCACAGAGCCCCGCCAUCGCCCGAACCCCCCAGAACUAUGGAGUCCCGUCUCCUGGACCGCUCAACACGCCAGGUAACCCCAGCUCAGUGAUGAGUCCGGCUGGAGCCACGUCUCUGGAGGACCAGCAGUACAUGGAGAAACUCAAGCAGCUCUCCAAAUACAUCGAACCUCUGCGCAGGAUGAUCAACAAGAUCGACAAGAAUGAAGACAGGAAGAAGGACCUGAGUAAGAUGAAGAGUCUGCUGAACAUCCUGACUGAUCCAAACACCAGGUGUCCUCUGAAGACGCUGCAGAAGUGUGAAAUCGCUUUAGAGAAGCUGAAGAACGACAUGGCCGUGCCGACCCCUCCUCCCCCUCCGCCCACCAAACAGCAGUAUCUGUGUCAGCCGCUGCUGGACGCCGUCAUGGCCAACAUCCGCUCCCCGGUCUUCAACCACUCUCUGUACCGAACCUUCGCCCCCGCCAUGACCGCCAUCCACGGACCCCCCAUCACGGGUCCCAACGUCUCAGGGAGGAAGAGGAAGCACGAGGAGGACGAGCGGCAGACCAUCCCCAACAUCCUGCAGGGGGAGGUGGCUCGCCUCGACGUCAAGUUCCUCGUCAACCUGGAUCCUUCGUUCUGCAGCAACAACGGCACCGUGCACCUCGUCUGCAAGCUGGAUGAUAAGAACCUUCCCAGCGUUCCUCCCCUGCAGCUCAGCGUUCCUGCCGAUUAUCCGGAUCAGAGUCCUUACUUGGCCGACGACGGGGAGCAGUACGGUGCGAACAGCUUCCUGCAGACGGUCCACAGAAACAUGACGUCCAAACUGCUGCAGCUGCCGGACAAACACUCGGUGACGGAGCUGCUCAACACCUGGGCCCAGAGCGUCCGCCAGGCCUGCCUGUCUGCCGCCUGAAGCCCCGCCCGCCCGACAUCACCCGCAGAACCGCCACGCUGACGCAUCUCCACGGACACUACGGCCUCAUCUCACCUGGCAGGUUCCUGCUGCGCCUGGAUCUGCUUUCAUCCAGGCCUUUUGGAUUUGUUCCCCACGCUCAUCUUAGUCCCCGAACGCUCCAUGACUGUCAGGUGAUCGGGCCGCUAUCGUGCGGUCUGACCCCGACGUUGUUCCUGAUGAAUUCUGGGUAAAGUAAGACGGCAGGUGGAGCUGUACGACUGCCUCUGUACAUGAUAUUUACUCUCAUGUGUCGGUUUGAAGAACACAAAAGGGAACCAACUGGCUGUCAUUUAUCCUGAUCUAUAUUCUGUUCCCUGAAUGCAACACCUGGUUCUGUUUAAGUCGGAGUGCGUUUGUUUUGUGCCCCGGGAGAGCGCUGUCGUAAAGAGAAACGCUGAACGAGGUUUGUACACUUUGCUUUCAAAGUGAAAAUAUAACUGUAUUUUUUUGCUAUCAUAAAUAAAAUCUUUUUAGUUCUAAA